CUCCGACUCCUCGCAUGGGGUGUCGGGAAAGAUUUCAUCGGUAUGGGAUGGGGUCGCGUCCUAUCAGGUAGUCGGCGGGGUAACGGCCCACCGAGCCUACGGCGGGUAGCCGGCCUGAGAGGGCGACCGGCCACAUUGGGACUGAGAUAUGGCCCAGACUCCUACGGGAGGCAGCAGUGGGGAAUAUUGCACAAUGGGCGCAAGCCUGAUGCAGCGACGCCGCGUGCGGGAUGACGGCCUUCGGGUUGUAAACCGCUUUUGAUCGGGAGCAAGCCUUCGGGUGAGUGUACCUUUCGAAUAAGCACCGGCUAACUACGUGCCAGCAGCCGCGGUAAUACGUAGGGUGCAAGCGUUAUCCGGAAUUAUUGGGCGUAAAGGGCUCGUAGGCGGUUCGUCGCGUCCGGUGUGAAAGUCCAUCGCUUAACGGUGGAUCUGCGCCGGGUACGGGCGG
rnacentral:rRNA from 1 species